CUAGCGAGCCCAACCUCCCACCCGUGUUUACUGUACCUUAGUUGCUUCGGCGGGCCCGCCAUUCAUGGCCGCCGGGGGCUCUCAGCCCCGGGCCCGCGCCCGCCGGAGACACCACGAACUCUGUCUGAUCUAGUGAAGUCUGAGUUGAUUGUAUCGCAAUCAGUUAAAACUUUCAACAAUGGAUCUCUUGGUUCCGGCAUCGAUGAAGAACGCAGCGAAAUGCGAUAACUAGUGUGAAUUGCAGAAUUCCGUGAAUCAUCGAGUCUUUGAACGCACAUUGCGCCCCCUGGUAUUCCGGGGGGCAUGCCUGUCCGAGCGUCAUUGCUGCCCAUCAAGCACGGCUUGUGUGUUGGGUCGUCGUCCCCUCUCCGGGGGGGACGGGCCCCAAAGGCAGCGGCGGCACCGCGUCCGAUCCUCGAGCGUAUGGGGCUUUGUCACCCGCUCUGUAGGCCCGGCCGGCGCUUGCCGAACGCAAAUCAAUCUUUUUCCAGGUUGACCUCGGAUCAGGUAGGGAUACCCGCUGAACUUAAGCA
rnacentral:rRNA from 1 species